AGUGUUUGUGCUGCAGGUCCACGGCACCGCCCCUGACAUCGCCGGCAUGGACCUGGCGAACCCCACUGCCCUGUUACUGAGUGCUGUCAUGAUGCUGCGUCACAUGGGUCUGCAUGACCAUGCCGACAAGAUCCAGACGGCCUGUUUUGACACCAUCAGAGACAAGAAGGUUCUGACGAAGGACCUGGGAGGAAGUGCAAAGUGCUCUGAGUUCACAGCUGAGAUCUGCCGUCGUGUCCAGGAUCUGGACUGAAGCUGCAGGGGAGAGGCCGCUGUUGGAGGCUCCCCCCGCCCGCCCACCUAUCCUGCUGACUCGUCAUAUCUCUCUGGAGCUGCUGGCUGUGGAGGGGCGGGGCUUCUGCAGCAACAUCCUUAACAUUCACAGCAAGCGUAACGCACAAGUUUCACCAAGAAGCAUGAGAUGAGCCUUUCUUACUGUAAUAUCAGAUGAAUGAUGGUAUCAGUGCUUCGUUCCAUUCGCAUAUUCUUUAUCGUAUUUUUGUAACAGUAGUACUGCGGGUAAAAGGUCCUCUUAUUUAUUUUUUCCACUUCCUGUUACUGCUUUAUUCACUCCUACUCACCCGGAUAUAUAAAAAUUCUACAAAGAAA